rnacentral:lncRNA from 1 species
AAACAAUAUAUUUAAAUUUUGAAAUUUACAAAUCACUAAAUGGCUCAAAUCAAAUAAAUUAAAAGAAUAGAUAGUAAAAACAAAUUUUUUUUAAGAUUAAAUAGUUAGAUCAAAAUAGAUCAUAGGUCAGAUAUAUAUACAUUUCUCAAUAUACUAUCAAACCUUCCCUCAAAUUACCAAUCACAAUAAGGGCAUGCUUGGUAUUAGGACACAUUUAACACUAAUAGAUGAAAUAAAAUUAGGGCGAAAUCAUAUAGAGAUAUAUUUCUAUAUUUUUCGCUGAAACAAUAUAAAAUAUGCUGUAACUGAUCACUUAAUGCAAUAUGUGCGACACGAUAUUACGUACAAAAAUUUAUCAUACUAUUUUACCGCAUGCAACAUAAUUUUUUUCGUAAUCCCAAAUGAAGGGUGCAUUUGGUUCGCGUUAUUUUUUAAAGAUUCCUACUAAUCUAAUAGGAAUAAAAAAAAUUGACGGUAUUUGGCUAAACGCACAAAGUAAUCUAAUUGGUAAUAUUGGAUUCACUUGGGAAUAAGAUUCACCCCAAAGUACUAAUCUCAUUCCUUUGAGGGAGAGUGGGUAUCCUCAUAUUAAUGGAUUAAGGUAAUCAUAAUAUGUCUAAUCUCUUUCUUUCUUCUUACCCGCCGGCUAAUUGAUAUUAUUUUUCUUUACACUCUAACCUUAUAUCUCUCUCUAAACUUAUUUUUCUCUCUAAAAUUCAACUUUUUUUUCUCUCUCUAAACUAAGCUUUCUCUCUCUCUCUUUCUAAAAUUUCAACUCUCUCACUCCCUCUAGUUUCGACUAUAUUUUUCUUUCUAUUUUUUUAAUUAUGCUCUCUCUCUCUAACUUAUGCUCUCUCUCUCCAUUUUUUCUAAAAAGAUAUUGAAACUUUUGGUAACAUUAUCUAAAAUUAAAUAAAUAAAUAAAUAAAUAAAUAGUAUAUUUUUUGUAAUAUUAAAUAACAUGGCUAAUUAAUGUUACCGUACAAACCAAACACAGAAAUUCUACAUUCUUAGUAAUAGGAUGAAUAGGAAUAAGAUUUUUGGAUAUCUUUUAUUCCUAAUAAUAUUUCAUAAUGCGAACCAAACACACCCUUAAAAUAAUUUAGCGGUAAUCUACAUUAGUAUUUACUACAUGUCAAACUUCCAACAUGCCUUU